rnacentral:misc_RNA from 1 species
AAGCAACAGAUAGAUCUUUAUCUAGCUCCAAGCUUUUGUGAAAGCUCCCAUCAAAGUCCCCAUAAAAUUCAAUAGCAUCUUUAGCUUGAAGUUUCUCUGCCCAGCCAUUCAGGACGUACGGAUCAUUAACAGCCACACAAAUCACCGAAUCAAUCCCUUUAGCCUUGAACUUAUCAAUGUUGUUUUUGUAACUAGGCACGUGUUGUUGCGAACAAACCCCCGUGUAUGCACCAGGGAGGCCAAAAAUCACGACUUUCUUCCCCUUGAAAAUGUCUUUUAGAGCAGUGGUGGAGAACUUAGAGGAGACACCUUUGUCCCAGGUCCGGGCUUUCUGGAGGGAUACAUCUGGCGCAGCGGAGACCAUGUCAGUGCCUACCGAAAGCUUUGCAUAUGACCUCGAUGACCCACCGAUUCGGAGAGCAUCAACCAUUGACUUUACAGCCGAGGAGCCAGUUCGCCUCAGGAUUGCAGAUGCCAUGGCUCACUCACUUGCUACUAUUCGAUCUCUGCUGCUUCUCGAUGAGUUUCCGCUAUCUCUGGAAGUUGAGGUUCGAGUUCGAC